rnacentral:rRNA from 1 species
GAUGAACGCUAGCUACAGGCUUAACACAUGCAAGUUGAGGGGAAACGACAUCGAAAGCUUGCUUUUGAUGGGCGUCGACCGGCGCACGGGCGAGUAACGCGUAUCCAACCUGCCCACCACUUGGGGAUAACCUUGCGAAAGUAAGACUAAUACCCAAUGACGUCUCUAGAAGACAUCUGAAAGAGAUUAAAGAUUUAUCGGUGAUGGAUGGGGAUGCGUCUGAUUAGCUUGUUGGCGGGGUAACGGCCCACCAAGGCGACGAUCAGCAGGGGUUCUGAGAGGAAGGUCCCCCACAUUGGAACUGAGACACGGUCCAAACUCCUACGGGAGGCAGCAGUGAGGAAUAUUGGUCAAUGGGCAAGAGCCUGAACCAGCCAAGUAGCGUGCAGGAUGACGGCCCUAUGGGUUGUAAACUGCUUUUAUAAGGGAAUAAAGUGAGUCUCGUGAGACUUUUUGCAUGUACCUUAUGAAUAGGGACCGGCUAAUUCCGUGCCAGCAGCCGCCGUAA